rnacentral:rRNA from 1 species
GCAUAUCAAUAAGCGGAGGAAAAAGAAACCAACAGGGAUUGCCUCAGUAACGGCGAGUGAAGCGGCAUCAGCUCAAAUUUGAAAUCUGGCUCUUUUAGGGUCCGAGUUGUAAUUUGCAGAGGGCGCUUUGGCAUAGGCAGCGAUUCAAGUUCCUUGGAACAGGACGUCACAGAGGGUGAGAAUCCCGUACGUGGUCGCUAGCUCUUGCCGUGUAAAGCCCCUUCGACGAGUCGAGUUGUUUGGGAAUGCAGCUCUAAAUGGGAGGUAAAUUUCUUCUAAAGCUAAAUAUUGGCCAGAGACCGAUAGCGCACAAGUAGAGUGAUCGAAAGAUGAAAAGUACUUUGGAAAGAGAGUCAAAAAGCACGUGAAAUUGUUGAAAGGGAAGCGCUUGCAGCCAGACUUGCCUGUAGUUGCUCAUCCGGGCUUUUGCCCGGUGCAAUCUUCUGUAGGCAGGCCAGCAUCAGUUUGGGCGGUUGGAUAAAGGUCUCUGUCAUGUACCUCUCUUCGGGGAGGACUUAUAGGGGAGACGACAUACAACCAGCCUAGACUGAGGUCCGCGCAUUUAUGCUAGGAUGCUGGCGUAAUGGCUGUAAGCGGCCCGUCUUGAAACACGGACCAAGGAGUCUAACAUCUAUGCGAGUGUUUGGGUGUCAAGCCCGAGCGCGUAAUGAAAGUGAACGGAGGUGGGAACCCUUUUGGGCGCACCAUCGACCGAUCCUGAUGUCUUCGGAAGGAUUUGAGUAAGAGCAUGGCUGUUGGGACCCGAAAGAUGGUGAACUAUGCUUGAAUAGGGUGAAGCCAGAGGAAACUCUGGUGGAGGCUCGCAGCGGUUCUGACGUGCAAAUCGAUCGUCAAAUUUGGGCAUAGGGGCGAAAGACUAAUCGAACUAUCUAGUAGCUGGGUUCUGCGA